ensembl:scaRNA small Cajal body-specific RNA 24
UGGACAUUUAUUUUUAUUCAGUUUCUUCUCACGGUGAAGAUAACUCUUUGUAAAUGUCCUAGAGAAAUAUAGUAGCUUUCUGUUCACCCUUUGCAAGUGAAAAGGGUGGAUCGUUCCACUGCUGACAUUU